UUCAACCAUGUUGUUCAACAGCUUUAAGCAAAGAUUUCGAUUCAAUUAUUGAUCAUGAUUAGCUUCGCAAAUAGAUGAGAUUUCGAAUUCGAAUUCGAAUAUUGAUCAGGAAUUGGCUUUAAGAUUUUUCAUAUCUUUUUCUGUGUGUGUGUUCGUACGCACAUGAACUGUUCGAUGAUAUUCCUAAAAGUCGAUUAGUUUGUAGGUGGGGGCUAGAAGAAUGUAAGGGUAUGUGUUACUGAAUGUGAAUCAUGUUACAUCAUUUGAUAAGCUGUUUAGUCCAUGUUUCUUUGAUUGCUAUCAUUUCGGUUUGGGGUUCUCUGUUUUGAUUGUUUCGUGGCAGUAAAACUUUUCGCUCUGUUAUUCGAAUGAAAUUCUUAUGUUCUUAUAUAUAUGUAGGCAAAUGCAGCAUCCGGGAUGGCUGUGCAUGAUGAUUGCAAGCUGCGGUUCUUGGAACUGAAGGCAAAAAGGAGUCACCGCUUCAUUGUCUUUAAGAUAGAAGAGAAACAGAAGCAGGUGAUCGUUGAAAAAGUCGGGGAGCCAAACGAAAGCUAUGAGGACUUCACUGCUAGCCUUCCUGCUGAUGAAUGUCGCUACACUGUCUACGAUUUUGACUUUGUCACUGCAGAGAAUUGCCAGAAAAGCAAGAUUUUCUUCAUUGCUUGGUAUUAUGACCAUCAUUUUACACCUAGUAUUUCCAUUAUUUAACAUCUUAUGCCAUUGCUAUAUAUUAAUUGAACAUGGUUUAUUUGUUUGUUCGUUUUUUUUGCCAUUUAAGGUCUCCCGAUACUGCACGGAUCAGAAACAAGAUGAUUUACGCUAGCUCAAAGGACAGAUUCAAGAGGGAGCUCGACGGAAUUCAAGUUGAAUUGCAAGCAACUGAUCCAACUGAAAUGGGGCUUGAUGUUAUCAAGAGCCGCGCGUACUAAGCGGAUAAAAC
rnacentral:lncRNA from 1 species